CCGGAUUUAGUAACUCGCACAAAUGCCUUCGGGCUUAGCCCGAAAUUAGUAUCUCGCACAAAUGCCUUCGGAUCUUAGUCCGGAUUUAGUAUCUCGCACAAAUGCCUUCGGAUCUUAGUCCAGAUAUGGUCACUUAGCACAAAGCCUUCGGGACUUAGCCCGGACAUCAUUCAAAUAACCAUGCACAUUUAACAAUAAAUCAUGGCACAUUCGUAUUUCAUUUUCGUUAGCAAA
rnacentral:lncRNA from 1 species